CGUGGCUCCAAUCCAAGCCAUUGCAAUUAUCCCUCCAUAACUGCUCUGGAUAGACAGGGGCCUAAAUAAAUAGUUUCUUUGACGGUCGCUGUUCAGUUUGACUUACUUGAUCAGCAACUUAUCUGGAAAGAACAUGC
rnacentral:snoRNA from 1 species